rnacentral:lncRNA from 1 species
UUUGGCACACCUGCUGAGAAUCCCUCAGGACUUCCUUUGGCUGGGGAUUUCCCUUCCCAGAAGGCCGAUGUGACUCAUUUCAGGCAUGGCUUGUCCUAGUGCUGUGCUUCAGGUCUCAUCAGAAGAAACCCAGGAAUUGAAAAGGUAGAUGCCUUGACUUUUGUCCCUGUUGGGUGAUUAAAGUGUUUAUUGCCAGAAUCAUCAAAGGCUCUGGUUAAACUCAGUCGACUCUGCUUUUCCUUGUGAAGAAUGUAUACUUUCCACACUGGCUUCCUUUUUCCACAAGUGGAAAGUAAAGCUUGCAGGAAAUCCAUUUUCCCUCUUGAUGACCAGUGGGUUCUAGUCACCAGUCUCUCCCUCUCCUUCUUUACUCAUUUUGGUCAGUGAUGGAGUUGGGCUGGAAGAGGAGCAGGCUAUGUGGUGAUAGAAAGAAGUGGAGUCUCACUGGAAACUUGCAUUGAUGAACAGAGACAAUUAAGCCCAACAAAACAGUUACCCCAGAGUUCAAGAAUUGCUUUGUGCCACUCUGAAUUCAGGUCGUUAUUCUGUAUAUAUUUAGAUAAUUCUCAGAGUGUCUUCAGUCUUUACUAAGUUUGAAGGGUACCGUAGUCUGGGAAGACACAGGGCAGGGUGACACUGAGACCCCUGUUCAUUCUUAAAAACAAAAAUUGGGAUAAGCCAGAGGGAUAUGCCAUCCGAUGUGUGGUAGAUGAAAUCAGUGGACAUUCUUAAUUGCAUAGACUUUAUAAUCUACUAUAUAAAGUGUAAUCCAUACUUUUUACUGUGGCCAGGGUGUGAUGUGGUUGUUAAUCUUUUUAAUUUUUAAAUCCAAACUGAAUUUAAAGUGUUGAAUACUUAAAAUUCCUCACAAGCUAAUUAUGAACCAUUUGUAAAGUGUUUCUAUAACUCUUUGUAUCAUGUGUUGGUACAUCUUAUCAAGUUUUUUCUGGCAUGUAUUCCAUUCUAAACUUCUGUAAAAUUUCUAUUGUUGCUGUACAUAUUCUACAAAUAUCUACUCUGUGGUUCCCUUCAUUAGCAGCAUGAGGUGGUUAAUUUUUACUGAGCACAAUGUAUUUUUGAAUGGAUCUUCCCACAUGUCUUUAAUAAAAUGCAGAUUUUGCACUGACUGAUGUGACUGCCGGGCUUUCCCAAUCUUGAGCACUGUGGUCCUUCUUGCCUUUGAACAGCAAGCAGCUCCAUUUUAAUUCUUUCUUUGUAAACAAGAAUAUGUUCGAAUUCAAAUGAGGGGCAAUGGGCCUUUGAAGUUGUAAUCAGUUUAAAGGAGUGAAAUUAAUGUAAAACAAAGCAAAUCCUGUUACUUAAUGAUUUUUUUUCUACUUAUAAAGUUCUUUUCCCCUU